rnacentral:rRNA from 1 species
GACGAACGCUGGCGGCGUGCCUAAUACAUGCCAGUAGAACGCUGAAGAGAGGAGCUUGCUCUUCUUGGAUGAGUUGCGAACGGGUGAGUAACGCGUAGGUAACCUGCCUUGUAGCGGGGGAUAACUAUUGGAAACGAUAGCUAAUACCGCAUAACAAUGGAUGACACAUGUCAUUUAUUUGAAAGGGGCAAUUGCUCCACUACAAGAUGGACCUGCGUUGUAUUAGCUAGUAGGUGAGGUAAUGGCUCACCUAGGCGACGAUACUUAGCCGACCUGAGAGGGUGAUCGGCCACACUGGGACUGAGACACGGCCCAGACUCCUACGGGAGGCAGCAGUAGGGAAUCUUCGGCAAUGGGGGCAAGCCUGACCGAGCAACGCCGCGUGAGUGAAGAAGGUUUUCGGAUCGUAAAGCUCUGUUGUAAGUCAAGAACGGGUGUGAGAGUGGAAAGUUCACACUGUGACGAUAGCUUACCAGAAAGGGACGGCUAACUACGUG